rnacentral:rRNA from 1 species
UACAGAGGGUGCGAGCGUUAAUCGGAAUUACUGGGCGUAAAGCGUGCGUAGACGGUUAUUUAAGUCGGGUGUGAAAGCCCCGGGCUCAACCUGGGAAUUGCAUUCGAGACUGAAUAGCUAGGGUACGGUAGAGGGAAGUGGAAUUUCCGGUGUAGCGGUGAAAUGCGUAGAUAUCGGAAGGAACACAGUGGCGAAAGCGACUUCCAUGGACCAGUACCGACGUUCAGGCACGAAAGCGUGGGGAGCAAACAGG